GUAAGAAGCCAGCAGGGUCAUUAACAUCAUCAGCAGGCUCAGUGGAGCACAGCUCUGUGGUAGAUAAAAUGGCUUCAUACUUCUCGUCAAACAGCAUCCGCGGGAAUAAAGCAUAAAAACAGAGAAGAUGGGCCAUCAUCUCUAAUGAAAUCUGCCUUUCAAACACUUGCCUACAAGCAACGGAAUCUUCCAAAGUACCGACUGUGCUUAUAAUAACUGACUUCAAUAGAAGCAGUUAGGUCAAAGCAGAAUGCUUUUGAAAAUCCCACCCUGAAUGUCAGUGAUUUAGCAAUGUAUAUCCGUGUUCUGUAUCAUGUUGAACCAUUGACAAUCCAUGCUCAGAGGCACCGGAUGGAUAGGCAUCUUAACUUGUCACGGGCUCACUCACCACACUGGCGCCUCCUGCUGAUCGUUUCGGGAAUUAGCUCUGGUCAGUGGGUGUUCCCUCUGGUGGCUCUUGCAUCCUCUUCUCCGCCUACAGACCCACUGCAGUUCCAGUCUCACUGCCUCUGCUUCGUGACACAGCCAGAGAGGGGACUCCUUCCGCAACAGUCUUGCUGCUUCUCACAGCGGCUUGGCAGUCCAUAGCCUGGCUGCUUCUUCAGCGGCGAGUGGGGGACCCAGUCCCGCCCACUACUCUGGGUCCCAGCCCAGGGACCCUAUAAACAACAGCUUCCUGCUGCCCCUCCUUUCUUUCUCCACCAGUCUGUCUCAAUUCCCUGGGCCACUUCCCCGCAGCCCCAGCACCUUCAGCUCCUGCCUCUGGCUCCUUCACCCUCUUCCCAGGGCCUUGGGCCUGCAAGUCCCAGCAGCCCAGUUCACAGUGAUAGUCCUGCAGCCCUCUAGGAAGCCAGUCCUCUCCCUUGGGCUUCCUGCAGCAGACCAUAUGCUUUGGCCUGCAGCUACCUUUUAUAUGGGCUGGCUGGGCCCUGAUUGGCUGUUUCCUUGCAGCCUUCCAGGCUGGGUUUUAACCCUA